GGCAAUGUUGCAAUUUGAAACAUAUGAAGGGCUUUUCCGUUGGUUACGCAUGAUAGUUGCUUACAUGACUCUCAUGGCGUGCGUGUGGGGAGAGCGCUUCUGCAAAAGAGCUAUUCAAUUCACGAGAAACUGUCAAAGCAGAUUGUGGAGGUACAAGAUUUCGAACGAUGAUCUAAGCGAUUCAGAGGUCUCUGCUCUGAAUGUCCCAAAUUCCAGCAAAGAGACGAAAUAAACAAAUGAAGAUCGUUACCGCUUAAUGAUUUUCAGAAAAUCUGAAAAGUGCGUGCUGGACGUUUGAACUUCUAAGAGUUAGAGAUCUUCAACGAAAUGAUGAUUGCUGAAAUUUCUAGUAUAAUCAAGAAUUGUUUCUCAAAGAUUCCGCAGUCGAAUUUUUGCUGAUUAGGAAAGGGAAACUUGGAAUUGGUGACCUUCUUGGUAAGCAAUUUGGAAAUUCUAGGGGGUCAUGGACAGUGGUGUUUCUAAGCACAUUUCGAUUUAAGUAUGUCUUCGUGGGAUAGUCUUGGGGACGUUGCUGGUGUGGCCCAGCUGACGGGUAUCAAUGCAGUUCAGCUGAUUUCAAUGAUUGUAAAAGCAGCAAAUACCGCAAGGAUGCACAAGAAGAACUGCAAGCAAUUUGCACAGCAUCUCAAGUUGAUCGGGAACUUAUUGGACCAACUCAAGAUCUCAGAGCUGAAGAAAUAUCCUGAGACUCGAGAGCCUCUAGAGCAACUGGAAGAUGCCUUAAGAAAAUCAUACAUUUUGAUCAAUAGUUGCCAGGAUCGUAGCUAUCUCUAUUUGUUGGCUAUGGGUUGGAAUGUUGUUUAUCAAUUCAGGAAGGCUCAAAGUGAAAUCGAUAGAUACCUAAGGCUCGUCCCUCUGAUUAAUUUGGUGGACAAUGCACGAGUCAGAGAGAGGCUUGAUGAUAUUGAAAAGCAUCAAUGCGAGUAUACAUUCGAGGAGGAUGAUAGAAAGAUCCAGGAUGUGAUCCUCAAACCAGAAUGUAUCAAGUACGAUGCUUCCAUAUUGAAAAAAACUCUUUCUCGUUCCUACCCAAACUUGGGGCUCCAUGAUGCGCUUCAAAAGGAAAAUGAAAAACUUCAGCUUGAGCUGCAAAUAUCUCAAUCUAAUAUGGAUGUUGGGCAAUGUCAAAUAAUUGAACGAUUAUUUGAUAUCACAGAAGCCUUAUCUGCCAAUUAUUUUAUGGAAAAAGAUUUUCAGAGAGGCAUUCCGACACAACAUGAAUAUAAUUAUUCUGAUGCCAAUGGUGGAACUACUCAUGCGUAUGAUGGAAGUUUUAACAAGAAUAGAGAUGCUAUUAUGGCAAGAAAGGGAUCAUCAAUUUCAUCAAGACGUGAUCUGCUAGCCAGCAAUUGUCAACAUGAAGAAUGGCAUGCUGAUUUGUUUGGUUGCUGUUCACAACCUUAUCUUUGUAUAAAGACAUUUUUCUGUCCUUGUUGGACAUUGUCAAAGGUUGCUUCUGUCGCCACCGACAGGCAUCUUCAGCGGAUGCGUGUAACGAGUUGAUGGCAUAUUCUUUGGUGUUCUCAUGCUGUUGUUACACUUGCUGUUUCCGACGAAAACUCCGGAAUAUGUUAAAUAUCAAGGUAACUAAUGUUCUAACUUAUAAAUAGAGACUUUCCUUCUUCAAUUAAACCGGUUUUUUCAGUCCAUUCCAUCCACCAUCCACCCUUGCGUGAAAGAAUAGCUCUCAAUUCAGUGAGGUAAUGAUUUUGAAAUAAUUAAAAUCUUAUUAUGAAACAAUCUUGCAUUCUGUUAAGGAAGAAACUAGAAAAAUAACAAAUCCUAUUAGGUUUAGGCCACAAAUUCCACCCCAAAAACUAUAUUUUCAUUGAGCCUCAGCUCUUUAUUCACUCAAAAUCAUAAUCAAAAUCAUUUAUGGUUUGAUUUUACACUUUUAAAUAUAAUUUUCAUACUAACAAAAUUGAUUUUGAAUUAAUAAAACCAUAUUUUGAGAUACUUUUGAAAUGAUAAAAGUGAUUUUUACUUUUAUAACAUCGUUCUCAAACGUAUCUUUAAAAGGUUAGAUAGUGAGGGUAGCAAUAUGCUUCUUUUGGAAGCUUAGAUGUUCGUAUCCCAUGGAGAUGCCAAUGACAAAGAUUGUUUCUCGAGCUCAUGACCUAGCAGCCCAUAGUUGCUAGCCGCGAGUAUUAAAUUACUUGGAUGCUUUGUGAGUUUCUGUAAUUACGAUCCGCUUCUUGCUUCGAGUCCUCUUGCUCUACUCUAUAUCUAUUUGACGUUCGUGUGUACUUUCUAGGAUAAUGCAUUUUUAUAACGUAGUUCGUAACUUGUUUUUUGGACAUGUAUAACCUUUGAUUACCAAUCCGAAUUAGUGAUGCACGUCUUUCGCUUCUUGGUCACUUUCUUUUGCAGGGUGGCCUUGUUGAUGAUUUUCUCUCUCACUUCCUGUGUUGUUGCUGUGCGCUCGUCCAAGAAUGGCGAGAAGUAGAAAUGCGUUGCGGUACGGAGGACACAAAAACCAUCCCCCCACCAUUGCAAUACAUGGAAUCCUAAGAGGUAAC